rnacentral:rRNA from 1 species
AUUGAACGCUGGCGGCAAGCCUAACACAUGCAAGUCGAACGAGUGGCGGACGGGUGAGUAAUGUCUGGGAAACUGCCUGAUGGAGGGGGAUAACUACUGGAAACGGUAGCCAAUACCGCAUACCAUCGGAUGUGCCCAGAUGGGAUUGGCUAGUAGGUGGGGUAAAGGCUCACCUAGGCGACGAUCCCUAGCUGGUCUGAGAGGAUGACCGGCCACACUGGAACUGAGACACGGUCCAGAAUCCUACGGGAGGCAGCAGUGGGGAAUAUUGCGCAAUGGGCGCAAGCCUGAUGCAGCAAUGCCGCGUGUAUGAAGAAGGCCUUCGGGUUGUAAAGCACUUUCAGCGGGGAGGCGUUACCCGCAGAAAAAGCACCGGCUAACUCCGUGCCAGCAGCCGCGGUAAUUC